rnacentral:tRNA from 1 species
GCCGGUAUAGCUCAGUUGGUAGAGCACCUGAUUUGUAAUCAGGGGGUCUCGGGUUCGAAUCCUGAUGCCGGCA